GUGUAAAUCUGUCUUUUAGUAACCUGGUAACAUAUCUGGUGACCUGUCAAUAUAAUGUCAGUUCAUUCAUGUAUUCGCGACACAUGAUUACGUUCGAUUUCAUUGCAAUUCUUGCACUCCUGCACAAGUUAUUUCAUAAUUAUCAUUGUAACUUGUCGCAAUAUUGUAAAAAUUGAUAAACAAUUUUCAAUAAAAACACGAUAACCUGAGUCUUCAUGAAAGAAGAAUACCACCUACUGUAAUUUAGACUUGCAGUCGAUACGUUUACGAAUUACGAUAAAACGAACCCAAAAAUACGAGUCACGAAUGAAAUCAGAUAUUGGGCUGGUAAAAAAACAAGAUGGGGAAUAACUGAAUACCUAAUUCAGAAUUUGUUUAAAUUAUUGUACAUGAGUGUACGGGAUAUAUGUGUGGCUAACCAUGAUAUGAUUUGACUCGAAGGACCAGCUCUCCCAACUGAAAUGAUCAAUCUCGCGAGCAACACCAAAAUUGUCUAUAAUAGGUAGAUAACUGUUCACCUUAAUUAGUUGCAACAGUUGACCAAUUUUUCAUAAAAAAAUGAGACACCAAGAAGUCUUUAAUGUUAUGUUUAAUAACUCUCAUUUGGAACUACUAAUUAUUUACAAAGUGUACAAGGAAUUUGGUUGAAGGUGAUAGGUGGAGGAGCAUAGCCACUAUGCUCCUCUGUCCUGAGGAUUUUAGUGGUAAUAAUGAACAAAAUGUAACUUCACAAAAUUCAGAGGCUAAAAUAAUAGGUAUGUUGAAAAUAAUUUGACAGUUUAUUUAAACUUACUGUUACAGGAGUAGUUAGAAACAUUGGGAACACAUAGACCAAAUAACCAAAAAGCAAAAAUUUUUCUGUUAACUUUCUUAAAUCUGAAUCCCAUGGAUUUUAAUACUCGAUGUAAAGUAUUUAAACUUGCUGUAUAUUCCAGAUGUUCUUUCGCAAAAAUAAAUAAAUCCCGAAUAGUAAAAAACUAUUUUUUUUUUUUGUUUUUGUCAAAUAUACAGUAGGUUAGAUCUUCGUUAAAUUCCAAAUUUGAAUACCACUGCGAUUUUUGUUUUGGUUUCCACUUUGCUUCUUGUAAAGGUUCUCCAGAUUGGGGUUGGGUUAUAAUUUUGUGGGCUUGACAUCGGGAACACUAUGGAAAGGAUAGGAAUAAAUGAGUUUACAAGGAAAGUUUCUGCAGUGUUUGAAUUUAAUGAGGGACAUUUAGUUGUAUUGUGUAGGAUAUAAAG